CGUUCUUGAGCUGCUUCUGGAUGG
rnacentral:siRNA from 1 species